AACAGGGAUUGCCCUAGUAACGGCGAGUGAAGCGGCAACAGCUCAAAUUUGAAAUCUGGCUCUUUCAGAGUCCGAGUUGUAAUUUGCAGAGGGCGCUUUGGCUUUGGCAGCGGUCCAAGUUCCUUGGAACAGGACGUCACAGAGGGUGAGAAUCCCGUACGUGGUCGCUAGCUAUUGCCGUGUAAAGCCCCUUCGACGAGUCGAGUUGUUUGGGAAUGCAGCUCUAAAUGGGAGGUAAAUUUCUUCUAAAGCUAAAUAUUGGCCAGAGACCGAUAGCGCACAAGUAGAGUGAUCGAAAGAUGAAAAGCACUUUGGAAAGAGAGUCAAACAGCACGUGAAAUUGUUGAAAGGGAAGCGCUUGCAGCCAGACUUGCUUGCAGUUGCUCAUCCGGGCUUUUGCCCGGUGCACUCUUCUGCAGGCAGGCCAGCAUCAGUUUGGGCGGUGGGAUAAAGGUCUCUGUCACGUACCUUCCUUCGGGUUGGCCAUAUAGGGGAGACGUCAUACCACCAGCCUGGACUGAGGUCCGCGCAUCUGCUAGGAUGCUGGCGUAAUGGCUGUAAGCGGCCCGUCUUGAAACACGGACCAAGGAGUCUAACAUCUAUGCGAGUGUUUGGGUGUCAAGCCCGAGCGCGUAAUGAAAGUGAACGGAGGUGGGAACCCGCAAGGGUGCACCAUCGACCGAUCCUGAAGUUUACGGAAGGAUUUGAGUAAGAGCAUGGCUGUUGGGACCCGAAAGAUGGUGAACUAUGCUUGAAUAGGGUGAAGCCAGAGGAAACUCUGGUGGAGGCUCGCAGCGGUUCUGACGUGCAAAUCGAUCGUCAAAUUUGGGCAUAGGGGCGAAAGACUAAUCGAACU
rnacentral:rRNA from 1 species